rnacentral:rRNA from 1 species
UACAGAGGAGCCAAGCGUUGUCCGGAUUGACUGGGCGUAAAGCGCACGCAGGCGGACGCGCGCGUGGGGUGUGAAAUCUGGCCGCUUAACGGCCAGGCGCCAUCCCAUACGGCGCGUCUGGAGCCUUGCAGAGGUCGGUGGAAUUCCCGGUGUAGCGGUGAAAUGCGCAGAUAUCGGGAAGAACACCCGUGGCGAAGGCGGCUCUCUGGGACGGUACUGACGCUGAGACGCGAAAGCGUGGGGAGCGAACAGG